rnacentral:rRNA from 1 species
AUACGGAGGGGGCUAGCGUUGUUCGGAAUUACUGGGCGUAAAGGGCGCGUAGGCGGAAUGAUAAGUCAGAGGUGAAAACCCAGGGCUCAACCCCGGGCCUGCCUUUGAUACUGUCAUUCUUGAGUGCGAGAGAGGAAAGCGGAAUUCCCGGUGUAGCGGUGAAAUGCGUAGAUAUCGGGAAGAACACCGGUAGCGAAGGCGGCUUUCUGGCUCGCAACUGACGCUGAGGCGCGAAAGCGUGGGGAGCAAACAGGAUUAGAAACCCCGGUAGUCC